UACGAAGGGGGCUAGCGUUGUUCGGAAUUACUGGGCGUAAAGCGCACGUAGGCGGAUUGUUAAGUCAGGGGUGAAAUCCCGGGGCUCAACCCCGGAACUGCCUUUGAUACUGGCAAUCUUGAGUUUGAGAGAGGUGAGUGGAAUUCCGCGUGUAGAGGUGAAAUUCGUAGAUAUUCGGAGGAACACCAGUGGCGAAGGCGGCUCACUGGCCCGGUACUGACGCUGAGGUGCGAAAGCGUGGGGAGCAAACAGG
rnacentral:misc_RNA from 1 species